CGCGCAGGCCGCCUUAUCGCCGAGAUCCUCGCUUUUGCGGGGGUGUGGGAGGAAAGUCCGGACACCAAAGGGAAGCAUAGCGGCUAACAGCCGUCGGGAACUCUGCUUUUGCUGAGUUUUCAGGACAAGUGCAGCAGAAAGGAUGUACAGGUAAUGCUGUAGUGAAAUCAGGUAAACUCUAUGCGGUGAAAUGCCACGUAAACCUGCGCUCCGAUAUUAAUCGGGAAAGGGUGCCCGCCCAAUGCAGGAGGGUAGGCAGAUUGAGCGUGUGGGUAACUGCACGUCUAGAUAAAUGAUAAGGCCCCAAUGCAUAUUGGGGACAGAACCCGGCUUAUAGGCCUGCUUUUUUU
rnacentral:RNase_P_RNA from 1 species